rnacentral:rRNA from 1 species
AUUGAACGCUGGCGGCAUGCCUUACACAUGCAAGUCGAACGGCAGCACGGGAGCAAUCCUGGUGGCGAGUGGCGAACGGGUGAGUAAUACAUCGGAACGUGCCCGGUAGUGGGGGAUAACUACGCGAAAGCGUCGCUAAUACCGCAUACGCUGUGAGCAGGAAAGCGGGGGAUCGCAAGAACUCGCUCUAUUGGAGCGGCAGAUGUCAGAUUAGCCAGUUGGUGGGGUAUAAGCGCACCAAGGCGACGAUCUGUAGAUGGUCUGAGAGGACGACCAGCCACACUGGGACUGAGACACGGCCCAGACUCCUACGGGAGGCAGCAGUGGGGAAUUUUGGACAAUGGGGGCGACCCUGAUCCAGCCAUGCCGCGUGUGCGAAGAAGGCCUUCGGGUUGUAAAGCACUUUUGGCAGGAACGAAACGGUUUGCGUUAAUACCGCGAACUAAUGACGGUACCUGCAGAAUAAGCACCGGCUAACUACGUGCCAGCCGCCGCAGUAA